rnacentral:rRNA from 1 species
AUUGACGUUACCCGCAGAAGAAGCACCGGCUAACUCCGUGCCAGCAGCCGCGGUAAUACGGAGGGUGCAAGCGUUAAUCGGAAUUACUGGGCGUAAAGCGCACGCAGGCGGUCUGUCAAGUCGGAUGUGAAAUCCCCGGGCUCAACCUGGGAACUGCAUUCGAAACUGGCAGGCUUGAGUCUUGUAGAGGGGGGUAGAAUUCC